rnacentral:rRNA from 1 species
CGGGGUGGAGUAAUGUCUGGGAAACUGCCUGAUGGAGGGGGAUAACUGCUGGAAACGGUAGCUAAUACCGCAUAACGUCGCAAGACCAAAGAGGGGGACCGUUCGGGCCUCUUGCCAUCGGAUGUGCCCAGAUGGGAUUAGCUAGUAGGUGGGGUAACGGCUCACCUAGGCGACGAUCCCUAGCUGGUCUGAGAGGAUGGCCAGCCACACUGGAACUGAGACACGGUCCAG